UAAAAAAAGGUAAGCUACUAAGAGCGAAUGGUGGAUGCCUUGACUGGUAAAGGCGAUGAAGGACGUACUAGACUGCGAUAAGCUACGGGGAGCUGUCAAGAAGCUUUGAUCCGUAGAUUUCCGAAUGGGGCAACCCAAUGUAUAGAGAUAUACAUUACCUAUAUAGGAGCGAACGAGGGGAAUUGAAACAUCUUAGUACCCUCAGGAAAAGAAAUCAAUAGAGAUUGCG
rnacentral:rRNA from 1 species